UCUUAUGGAUGAGCAAAGAAAAUGGUUUCUCCAGAUGGAAUCUAUUAUCGGGGAAGAUUCUAUGAU
rnacentral:pre_miRNA from 1 species